rnacentral:rRNA from 1 species
GAUGAACGCUGGCGGCGUGCUUAACACAUGCAAGUCGAACGAACCUUUCGGGGUUAGUGGCGGACGGGUGAGUAACGCGUGAGGAUCUGCCCUUAGGAGGGGGACAACUUUUGGAAACGGAAGCUAAUACCCCAUAUGGCGAGAGCUGAAACUUUUUGGCCUGAGGAUGAACUCGCGUCUGAUUAGCUAGUUGGUGGGGUAAGAGCUUACCAAGGCGACGAUCAGUAGCUGUUCUGAGAGGAAGAUCAGCCACACUGGGACUGAGACACGGCCCAGACUCCUACGGGAGGCAGCAGUGGGGGAAUUUUCCGCAAUGGGCGCAAGCCUGACGGAGCAACGCCGCGUGAGGGAGGAAUGUCUGUGGAUUGUAAACCUCUUUUCUCUGUGAAGAAGAUCUGACGGUAGCAGAGGAAUCAGCAUCGGCUAACUCCGUGCCAGCCGCCGCGGUAAU